rnacentral:sRNA from 1 species
AUUCUGCCCAUGCGGGGAAGGAUGAGAAGCUUCGACAAAGGUUCGUCUCGAGCGCCAGCGAGAGAGCGUUGCCGCAGGCAACGACCCGAAGGGCGAAGCGCGCAGCGCUGAGUAAUCCUUCCCCCACCACCA